AAUUUAUUAUCACAGUUAACCAAUCCGGAACUUGGCGGGGGAAGUGCGGAAGAGGAAGAUCGAAUUAUAAGUGUAGAGUACACGAGCGGCGGACGGGUGAGUAACACGUGGGAAUCUACCCAAACUGAGGGAUAAGCACCGGAAACGGUGUCUAAUACCGCAUAUGGUCUUCGGAUUAAAGCUUCGGCGGUUUGGGAAGAGCCCGCGCAAGAUUAGCUAGUUGGUGAGGUAAAGGCUCACCAAGGCGACGAUCUUUAGCUGGUUUGAGAGGAUGAUCAGCCACACUGGAACUGAGACACGGUCCAGACUCCUACGGGAGGCAGCAGUUAGGAAUUUUCCACAAUGGGCGCAAGCCUGAUGGAGCAACGCCGCGUGCAGGAUGAAGGUUUUCGGAUUGUAAACUGCUUUUAUAAGUGAAGAAUAUGACGGUAACUUAUGAAUAAGGAUCGGCUAACUCCGUG
rnacentral:rRNA from 1 species